AGCUAAUAGAUACCCGGGUAGUCCCAGCAGUAAACGGUGCGCGUUUGGUGUGAGCAGAUUCGACUCUGUUCGCGCCGGAGCUAACGUGUUAAACGCGCCGCCUGGGAAGUACGAUCGCAAGAUUAAAACUCAAAGAAAUUGACGGGGGCCCGCACAAGCGGUGGAGUAUGUGGCUUAAUUCGAUGCAACGCGAAGAACCUUACCUGGGUUUGACAUGCAUCUCUAAGGAGGUGAAAGCUUCCGAGGGUAGCAAUACCCGAUUUGCACAGGUGCUGCAUGGCUGUCGUCAGCUCGUGUCGUGAGAUGUUGGGUUUAAGUCCCGCAACGAGCGCAACCCUUGUAUGCUGUUGCUAUGCUUACGCAUAGCUCUCUGCGUAGACUGCCCCGUGAAACGGGGAGGAAGGUGGGGAUGACGUCAAGUCAGCAUGGCCCUUACACCCAGGGCUGCACACGUACUACAAUGCUCAGUACAAUUAGAACCUGCCCGCGAGGGUUGGGAAAUCAGCG
rnacentral:rRNA from 1 species